GACGAACCGAGCGAACGUUGUUCGGAAUCACUGGGCUUAAAGGGCGCGUAGGCGGCUCGGUAAGUAGGGGGUGAAAUCCUGCGGCUCAACCGUGUGGUCUGCAGUCGAUACGGGCAGGCUAGAGUUCGGUAGGGGAGACUGGAAUUCCUGGUGUAGCGGUGAAAUGCGCAGAUAUCAGGAGGAACACCGAUGGCGAAGGCAGGUCUCUGGGCAUUAACUGACGCUGAGGAGCGAAAGCAUGGGGAGCGAACAGG
rnacentral:rRNA from 1 species